UGGGGAAUAUUGGACAAUGGGCGCAAGCCUGAUCCAGCCAUGCCGCGUGAGUGAUGAAGGCCCUAGGGUUGUAAAGCUCUUUCACCGGUGAAGAUAAUGACGGUAACCGGAGAAGAAGCCCCGGCUAACUUCGUGCCAGCAGCCGCGGUAAUACGAAGGGGGCUAGCGUUGUUCGGAUUUACUGGGCGUAAAGCGCACGUAGGCGGACUUUUAAGUCAGGGGUGAAAUCCCGGGGCUCAACCCCGGAACUGCCUUUGAUACUGGAAGUCUUGAGUAUGGUAGAGGUGAGUGGAAUUCCGAGUGUAGAGGCGAAAUUCGUAGAUAUUCGGAGGAACACCAGUGGCGAAGGCGGCUCACUGGACCAUUACUGACGCUGAGGUGCGAAAGCGUGGGGAGCAAACAGG
rnacentral:rRNA from 1 species